CUUUUCCUAGUAUUGGUGAGUAGAUUGGAAACUGUUGACGUCUUGAGAGCUCUUGAAACAUGUCUUUACAGCAUCUAUACUUUUUGCGCCUAGGGAAAAGGAGACCAACAAGAGGCAAAUAAUCCUUUCUUGGGCGUUGUGGUGGAGAGAUGUCAAGGCCAGGGUGUUGCUCCGAUGAAUGAUAGCUGCUUCAGCGAUGGUGCAAUUGGAGAAGAGAAUCUCCCCACCCCUCUAGCCAACUCCACAAAAUACAUGCACCUUUAUCAAGAUUGUUCGCUCGAUGCAAAAUGGUCCCUCUUCUUUGUUGAUUUGAGAUGUUGCUCAUAUGUUUUAUUAUUAUAUUGUUUUCUGUGUUUGUUACUCACUUCACUUUUCUGUCAAAUCAAUAAUUUAUCAAUCACAUCAAUUAUGAGUAUAAUAUUUAAUACUCACAUU